UACUGAGAACUUCUAUAAGAUUAUAGAACCUUUUAUGCUAAAACUAGUAACAAGAGGUAACCCCUCUCUACAAUGCAAGUAUACGCCAACAAGAACCCACCAUUGGCAAUCAACAGAUUUAAAUAAAAGUGGCAACUUCCCCAGAAAACCCCACCCCACUCAACUGUUAACCUAAUACCAGAACAUUUCAAGAAAGAUUAAAAGAAAGAGAAGGAACUCGGCAAACAUUAGCCCCGCCUGUUUACCAAAAACACCGCCUCUUGUCCCCCAUAAGAGGUCUAGCCUGCCCAGUGACUUCUGUUCAACGGCCGCGGUAUCCUAACCGUGCAAAGGUAGCGUAAUCACUUGUCCCCUAAAUAGAGACUAGUAUGAAUGGCAUCACGAGGACUAAGCUGUCUCCUCCCCCUAAUCAGUGAACCUAAUAACCCCGUGAAGAAGCGGGAAUUUUUAUAUAAGACGAGAAGACCCUGUGGAGCUUAAAUCACUAUAACACCUGCCACCUCACUCUAUCUACCCAGGUUUUUCCCCCCGUGGCACUAUGAUUAUAUGUUUUUGGUUGGGGUGACCGCGGAGAAAAACCUAUCCUCCACAAUGAAAGGGACUUCCCUAAACAGUAAGCUACAACUUUAUGUAUCAGCAAACUGACAUCCAUUGACCCAAUAUAUUUGAUUAACGAACCAAGUUACCCCAGGGAUAACAGCGCAAUCCACUUCGAGAGCCCCUAUCGACAAGUGGGCUUACGACCUCGAUGUUGGAUCGUGGUAUCCUAGUGGUGCAGCCGCUACU
rnacentral:rRNA from 1 species